UGGGGAAUUUUGGACAAUGGGCGCAAGCCUGAUCCAGCAAUGCCGCGUGCAGGAUGAAGGCCUUCGGGUUGUAAACUGCUUUUGUACGGAGCGAAAAGGUCUGCCCUAAUACGGUGGGCUCAUGACGGUACCGACAGAAUAAGCACCGGCUAACUCUGUGCCAGCAGCCGCGGUAAUACAGAGGGUGCAAGCGUUAAUCGGAAUUACUGGGCGUAAAGCGCGCGUAGGUGGUUAGUUAAGUUGGAUGUGAAAUCCCCGGGCUCAACCUGGGAACUGCAUUGGAGACUGCAAGGCUAGAAUCUGGCAGAGGGGGGUAGAAUUCCACGUGUAGCAAUGAAAUGCGUAGAUAUGUGGAGGAACACCGAUGGCGAAGGCAGCCCCCUGGGUCAAGAUUGACGCUCAUGCACGAAAGCGUGGGGAGCAAACA
rnacentral:rRNA from 1 species